rnacentral:rRNA from 1 species
AUUGAACGCUGGCGGCAGGCCUAACACAUGCAAGUCGAACGAGUGGCGGACGGGUGAGUAAUGUCUGGGAAACUGCCUGAUGGAGGGGGAUAAAUACUGGAAACGGUAGCAAAUACCGCAUACCAUCGGAUGUUCCCAGAUGGGAUUCGCCAGUAGGUGGGGUAAAGGCUCACCUAGGCGACGAUCCCUAGCUGCUCUGAGAGGAUGACCAGCCACACUGGAACUGAGACACGGUACAGACUCCUACGGGAGGCAGCAGUGGGGAAUAUUGCACAAUGGGCGCAAGCCUGAUGCAGCACUGCCGCGUGUAUGAAGAAGGCCUUCGGAUUGUAAAGUACUUUCAGCGGGGAGGCGUUACCCGCAGAAGAAGCCCCGGCUAACUACGUGCCAGCAGCCGCGGUAAUAC